CUCCAAGGUAUUAUCAUCGGUGAGAUUUAGUGUUAUGUUCUAAAAACGGUGCAAAGUAAUGAGAACUGGCAAAAGCUUAAAGAAACUCUGCAGCGGUUAGUCCACACUCCGGUCUUAAAAAUGUUUUUGCUCACACUGUGGAUACCAGUGGAGCCAGCAGGCACAUGCCGAUCGGGACUCCUUAUGUAUUGAAAACACUUUCCUAAAAAAAAAAAUAUUUUAUAAAAUUUACUAGGGCCUGAUUCUUCUUCUUAUGGUAUUAUGUAUUUGCUCACGGGUUGAAGAAAUGUGGAAUGGGUUAUAAUAUUAAAGAUUAUACAGUAUCAGUUAAGAAUAGAUCAUAAAUAUGCUAAUGAGUUUCAGAAUGCAAAUUCCCAAAAUGACAAAGAGUAUCAAAGAGUACACAGCAUAAACAGAACUGUAAAAGUCAAUGUGCCCAAAACCAAGUCACACUAGCUUGUUUCCAAAUAUACAAAGUGAGUACUCUGUGUUAGGGAAACUAGAAUUAGAAACAAAACUUGCCAGGUCCAGAACCAGAACAAAAUCAACCAGGACUACAACUGUCUUUAUGGACUAUGAAAACACAAAAGGAUACUGGUCCAAAGAAGGCCAGGGUUUAAACAGGACCAAGCCCUGAGGUUAUCAUCAAGCAUCAAUUCUUGAUUUGAAGGACUUGGGGGAAAAGAAAAAAGAAAUACAAGUACCAAGAUCACAAAUUGCAUCAUUUUAAGAACGAACAAGACCAAAAUGACACAAGUAAGAGUGAGUAAGAGGAAUAUUGCAAAUAAAAUGUGGCCCAGUGAUUUGUCUUACAGCAGGGGUCGCAACCUAUGGCACAUGCAUUUGAAUGGCUUGCGCGAGUGCUGACCUCACUCUCCUGGACAUACUGAGGAGUAGGUUUGAGCAAUGUUUCCACGGAGUCAGCAUAAACUCAGCUUAUCAUUGGCCGCUCAUUGCCAGUAAGGGUUAAAAAUUUAUGUUUAUUCGGGAUGGGCAGCCAGUAAGAGUGUGAGUGUCAGUUGACACUAUGCUCAUCACUGCUGCCCCCUUGCUGCUCAAGCUAAUGUUUCCACAUUAACCAAAGCAGCAGACGAUCAUCUGGGGACACUAUGCCUAAAAUGGAGCUACACUAGAAGGCAAGAUAGUUUAAGGAGACUGGAUAAUUAGCUGGAGCAGAAAAUUAGAGGCAGCAGAUGGGCACAUCUUGGGAGAUUAUUUCUUUUACAGUAUAUGAGAAACAGUUUAACUCCAGAAAGUAAGACUUGGCACUUCACUGAGAAAAGGUGGUUAUGG